AUUGAACGCUGGCGGCAUGCUUUACACAUGCAAGUCGAACGGUAACAGGCCUUCGGGUGCUGACGAGUGGCGAACGGGUGAGUAAUGCAUCGGAACGUACCCAGAGGUGGGGGAUAACGCAGCGAAAGCUGUGCUAAUACCGCAUGUGAUCUGAGGAUGAAAGCGGGGGACCGAGCAGCAAUGUUUGGCCUCGCGCCUUUGGAGCGGCCGAUGUCGGAUUAGCUAGUUGGUGGGGUAAAGGCCUACCAAGGCGACGAUCCGUAGCUGGUCUGAGAGGACGACCAGCCACACUGGGACUGAGGCACGGCCCAGACUCCUACGGGAGGCAGCAGUGGGGAAUUUUGGACAAUGGGCGCAAGCCUGAUCCAGCAAUGCCGCGUGCGGGAAGAAGGCCUUCGGGUUGUAAAACGCUUUUGGCAGGAACGAAACGGUGUCCGCUAAUACCGGGCGCUAAUGACGGUACCUGAAGAAUAAGCACCGGCUAACUACGUG
rnacentral:rRNA from 1 species